rnacentral:misc_RNA from 1 species
GAAAUGCGAUACGUGAUGUGAUCUGCAUUCUCGUGAAUCAUCGAAUCUUUGAACGCAAAUGGCGCUCGACCACUUGUGGCCGAGCAUGUCUGUUUGAGGGUCAGUUUUACCUGCUUCAUAACUCUUUUUUCUUUUUGGAAAAGAGAUAUGAGACGAUGGGAUUUCAGAGGGAACUCACUCUUUGAUCUCCUGAAACAUAUGUAUAACGUGCGCCAGGAAAAGCAACCAAAAAGGAGAUAUGGUCCGAGGCCCCGACUUUUUUACGGGGCCGUCAACAACGGAAGCAUAACUCCCUUUUUUGCUUUUUCGAAUGCAAAAAGUUUGGGAGGGAUCAAACCCAACCAUAACACAAAACAAAAAACGAAUGACCUCAAAUCAGGCAAGAGCACCCGCUGAACUUAA